GAUGAACGCUGGCGGCGUGCCCAAUACAUGCAAGUCGAGCGAACAGACGAGGAGCUUGCUCCUCUGACGUUAGCGGCGGACGGGUGAGUAACACGUGGAUAACCUACCUAUAAGACUGGGAUAACUUCGGGAAACCGGAGCUAAUACCGGAUAAUAUAUUGAACCGCAUGGUUCAAUAGUGAAAGACGGUUUUGCUGUCACUUAUAGAUGGAUCCGCGCCGCAUUAGCUAGUUGGUAAGGUAACGGCUUACCAAGGCGACGAUGCGUAGCCGACCUGAGAGGGUGAUCGGCCACACUGGAACUGAGACACGGUCCAGACUCCUACGGGAGGCAGCAGUAGGGAAUCUUCCGCAAUGGGCGAAAGCCUGACGGAGCAACGCCGCGUGAGUGAUGAAGGUCUUCGGAUCGUAAAACUCUGUUAUUAGGGAAGAACAAAUGUGUAAGUGACUAUGCACGUCUUGACGGUACCUAAUCAGAAAGCCACGGCUAACUACGUG
rnacentral:rRNA from 1 species